GAUUUCAACUAAAGAAGUCAUCAACAACAAAAUUUUAUAACUCAUCAAGAUCUAAAACUUUUAUUUUUGUCAUUUCUUUAUCUAACAAAGUGUUAGUAACAUUGUUCACAAAUUUUACAUAUAUGUGUUAUAGUUUAUAAAACCACAUAAGAAAUACGUCAAUUUUGUGAACAAUGUUACUAUCACUUUGUCGGAUGAAGAAAUGAUCAAAAUAAAAGUUUUAGAUCUUGAUGAGUUAUUCAACUUUGUUGUUGAUAACUUUUUCAGUUGAAAUC
rnacentral:pre_miRNA from 1 species